rnacentral:rRNA from 1 species
GAUGAACGCUGGCGGCGUGCCUAAUACAUGCAAGUCGAGCGAACAGACGAGGAGCUUGCUCCUCUGACGUUAGCGGCGGACGGGUGAGUAACACGUGGAUAACCUACCUAUAAGACUGGGAUAACUUCGGGAAACCGGAGCUAAUACCGGAUAAUAUAUUGAACCGCAUGGUUCAAUAGUGAAAGACGGUUUUGCUGUCACUUAUAGAUGGAUCCGCGCCGCAUUAGCUAGUUGGUAAGGUAACGGCUUACCAAGGCAGCGAUGCGUAGCCGACCUGAGAGGGUGAUCGGCCACACUGGAACUGAGACACGGUCCAGACUCCUACGGGAGGCAGCAGUAGGGAAUCUUCCGCAAUGGGCGAAAGCCUGACGGAGCAACGCCGCGUGAGUGAUGAAGGUCUUCGGAUCGUAAAACUCUGUUAUUAGGGAAGAACAAAUGUGUAAGUAACUAUGCACGUCUUGACGGUACCUAAUCAGAAAGCCACGGCCAACUACGUG